rnacentral:antisense_RNA from 1 species
AGCCCGGUCCACCACAGCCUUCAGCAGCGACACUCGCAGCCUCCGACCUCUUCAGACCGAUGAGACCAGUCAAGCCCGUUAGGCCGCGCCUGAACACCGCCAGCAGACCUGUGGAGAGGAAGAGUAAGGCGGGCUCUGCAGGGCAGUGGCC